GUCGAAGUAAACUGCUCACGUACAAAUCAUCUGAUCAAGACCUUGAAGGGUUGCUGGACAAAAUGAAAGUAUUCCUUAUCCUUACAUUUGCGAUUCUUUUAUUGGAUUCGGCGGAUGUUUUUACUAAUGGGCUCUUCUGUCUUGAUAACUAUUGCGGCGAUCACUGCAAGUCCGUUGGUUGUGAAAGAAGUUCCUGUAGUUCUUUUUCCCACUGGACAAAAUGUGAAUGCAGCGACUGUAUUG